UACGUAGGGUGCAAGCGUUAAUCGGAAUUACUGGGCGUAAAGCGUGCGCAGGCGGUUAUGCAAGACAGAGGUGAAAUCCCCGGGCUUAACCUGGGAAUGGCCUUUGUGACUGCACGGCUAGAGUGUGUCAGAGGGGGGUAGAAUUCCACGUGUAGCAGUGAAAUGCGUAGAGAUGUGGAGGAAUACCGAUGGCGAAGGCAGCCCCCUGGGAUAACACUGACGCUCAGGCACGAAAGCGUGGGGAGCAAACAGG
rnacentral:rRNA from 1 species